GCACCCAUAGCUCAGCUGGAUAGAGUGUCGCCCUCCGAAGGCGAAGGUCGUAGGUUCGAAUCCUACUGGGUGCACCA
rnacentral:tRNA from 1 species